UACGUAGGGGGCAAGCGUUGUCCGGAAUUAUUGGGCGUAAAGCGCACGUAGGCGGCUCUGUAAGUCGGAUGUGAAAUCCCUCGGCUUAACCAAGGAAGUGCAUCCGAAACUGCAAGGCUUGAGUACUUAAGAGGAUCGCGGAAUUCCCGGUGUAGAGGUGAAAUUCGUAGAUAUCGGGAGGAACACCAGUGGCGAAGGCGGCGAUCUGGGAAGAUACUGACGCUGAGGUGCGAAAGCGUGGGGAGCAAACAGG
rnacentral:rRNA from 1 species